AGUGAACGCUGGCGGUAGGCCUAACACAUGCCAGUCGAACGGCAGCACAGUAAGAGCUUGCUCUUACGGGUGGCGAGUGGCGGACGGGUGAGGAAUACAUCGGAAUCUACUUUUUCGUGGGGGAUAACGUAGGGAAACUUACGCUAAUACCGCAUACGACCUACGGGUGAAAGCAGGGGAUCUUCGGACCUUGCGCGAUUGAAUGAGCCGAUGUCGGAUUAGCUAGUUGGCGGGGUAAAGGCCCACCAAGGCGACGAUCCGUAGCUGGUCUGAGAGGAUGAUCAGCCACACUGGAACUGAGACACGGUCCAGACUCCUACGGGAGGCAGCAGUGGGGAAUAUUGGACAAUGGGCGCAAUCCUGAUCCAGCCAUACCGCGUGGGUGAAGAAGGCCUUCGGGUUGUAAAGCCCUUUUGUUGGGAAAGAAAAGCAGCAGGUUAAUACCCCGCUGUUCUGACGGUACCCAAAGAAUAAGCACCGGCUAACUUCGUG
rnacentral:rRNA from 1 species